UACAGAGGUCUCAAGCGUUGUUCGGAUUCAUUGGGCGUAAAGGGUGCGUAGGUGGCGCGCUAAGUCAGGUGUGAAAUUUCGGAGCUUAACUCCGAAACUGCAUUUGAUACUGGCGUGCUUGAGGACUGGAGAGGAGACUGGAAUUCAUGGUGUAGCAGUGAAAUGCGUAGAGAUCAUGAGGAAGACCAGUGGCGAAGGCGGGUCUCUGGACAGUUCCUGACACUGGAGGCACGAAGGCCAGGGGAGCAAACGGG
rnacentral:rRNA from 1 species